rnacentral:tRNA from 2 species
GGCUGGGUAGCUCAGUUGGUUAGAGCGCGGGACUCAUAAGCCCGAGGUCGUGGGUUCAAUUCCCACCCCCGCCACCA